rnacentral:lncRNA from 1 species
GUGGGGAUGCAGGAAGGAGGCUCAGCCCAGAGGGCGGGGCCAAGAUCCUGAUUGGAGGAAAUCAAGGUGAGCGCGCUGCUACAAACUGGGCCCCUAUUUCUAGUUGGUGGCCAAACAUUUUGCCUGGGGCUGGGCCUGGGGCUGGGCCCGGGGCUGGGCCCGGGGCUGGGCCUGGGGCUUUGCCCGGGGCUGGGUCUAGGGCUGGGUCCAGGGCUGGGCCGCGGACUGGGCCUCGGACUGGGCCUCGGACUGGGCCUCGGACUGGGCCUCGGACUUGGCCUCGGAUUGGGCCGAGGAUUGGGCAGAGGCACGGGCCUACUGAUGGGCCUCCUGCUCGUGCCAGGUCGCCGCCGAGGUCUGCUUUGGCGGUUUCCACAUUCACGCAUCAGCCCGUUCACUGCGUCCGGGAGAAAACAGCUGGCGAGGCUCGGUUCCCCCCCACUCUCCGCCGGGAAGAGCAUGGCUUCGGGCGGCCCUGCGCAGAGAACGCAGAUGUGGACCCUCGGAAAGGAAAAUCAAAGCCAGUGAGUGAGGCCACAUGUCUACCCCCAGAAGAAUAGCCAAUGUCCAGGUGUGCCUGAAAAGAGUCUCAGUGACAGCAGCCCUCAGGUGAUGCAGAGCGCCAUGUUCUCAGCAAAGACCCACAUGCUUAUGCUGUCACAGGCUUGGAGGGAUGGCAGCAGGUGCAGGGGUGUGGUGACAACAUCUUGUGAAUCUGCACAGAAACCGCACUGUGUCCUGACAGCUCACACCCACG